UACGUAGGGUGCGAGCGUUAAUCGGAAUUACUGGGCGUAAAGCGCGCGCAGGCGGUCUUCCAAGUCAGUGGUGAAAGCCCGGAGCUCAACUCCGGAACUGCCAUUGAAACUGUAAGACUUGAGGAUGAGAGAGGUGAGUGGAAUUCCCAGUGUAGAGGUGAAAUUCGUAGAUAUUCGCAAGAACACCAGUGGCGAAGGCGGCUCACUGGCCCGGUACUGACGCUGAGGUGCGAAAGCGUGGGGAGCAAACAGG
rnacentral:rRNA from 1 species